ACGACCUUAUCCCCUAACCUUUCCCGACGUGAGUUCGUGGUGUCUUUUUUGGGGCAUCAUGGAUUCCGUUGGACCAUAACAAAACCCCGGCACGGUAUGUGCCAAGGAAAACAAAAAUGAGAAGGACACUACCUGUUUCGCCCCGUUUGCGGUGUGCGUACAGGUCGUGGCCUCCUUGGAAUCACAAACGACUCUCGGCAACGGAUAUCUCGGCUCACGCAUCGAUGAAGAACGUAGCAAAAUGCGAUACUUGGUGUGAAUUGCAGAAUCCCGUGAACCAUCGAGUUUUUGAACGCAAGUUGCGCCCGAAGCCAUCCGGCUGAGGGCACGCCUGCCUGGGCGUCACGCAUCGCGUCGCUCCCCACCAUACCUCCCCAACGGGUUGGCAUGGUGUUGGGGGCGGAUAAUGGCCUCCCGUGCUUGUGUUUCGGUUGGCCUAAAUAAGAGUUCCCUUCGGCGGACACACGACUAGUGGUGGUUGAAUAGACCCUCGUCUUUUGUUGCGUGUCGUGAGCUGUAAGGGUAGCCCUCAUCAAAGACCCCAUUGUAUCGUCUUCGGAUGAUGCUUCGACCGCGACCCCAGGUCAGGCGGGACUACCCGCUGAG
rnacentral:rRNA from 1 species